ensembl:lncRNA
GGAAUAUUGGAGGUUUCUGACUGCAGCAGACCAAGCAGAGCAGUUUUCAGUCAUCUAUUAUGGCUGCUGAUGUUGUUCCACAUUUUCAGGUAAAUUUAAACUGUGCAGGAAAGUGGACAAUAGGUGCAGGAGAAGACUUGUAACAAGACAUCAUUCAUUUCUGGUGGAGAAAAAAAAAAUUAAAUGUGAAAUGCAUCAAAUGUAUCAUUGUAUACCCAAGAAAAUGUUCAGCUACUUUCAGAUUGAAUGAAAAAGUAAACAUUGUGAUUAAAC